rnacentral:rRNA from 1 species
ACAGGUGCUAAUACCGUAUAACAAUCGAAACCGCAUGGUUUUGAUUUGAAAGGCGCUUUCGGGUGUCGCUGAUGGAUGGACCCGCGGUGCAUUAGCUAGUUGGUGAGGUAACGGCUCACCAAGGCGACGAUGCAUAGCCGACCUGAGAGGGUGAUCGGCCACAUUGGGACUGAGACACGGCCCAAACUCCUACGGGAGGCAGCAGUAGGGAAUCUUCGGCAAUGGACGAAAGUCUGACCGAGCAACGCCGCGUGAGUGAAGAAGGUUUUCGGAUCGUAAAACUCUGUUGUUAGAGAAGAACAAGGAUGAGAGUAACUGUUCAUCCCUUGACGGUAUCUAACCAGAAAGCCACGGCUAACUACGUGCCAGCAGCCGCGGUAAUACGUAGGUGGCAAGCGUUGUCCGGAUUUAUUGGGCGUAAAGCGAGCGCAGGCGGUUUCUUAAGUCUGAUGUGAAAGCCCCCGGCUCAACCGGGGAGGGUCAUUGGAAACUGGGAGACUUGAGUGCAGAAGAGGAGAGUGGAAUUCCAUGUGUAGCGGUGAAAUGCGUAGAUAUAUGGAGGAACACCAGUGGCGAAGGCGGCUCUCUGGUCUGUAACUGACGCUGAGGCUCGAAAGCGUGGGGAGCAAACAGGAUUAGAUACCCUGGUAGUCCACGCCGUAAACGAUGAGUGCUAAGUGUUGGAGGGUUUCCGCCCUUCAGUGCUGCAGCUAACGCAUUAAGCACUCCGCCUGGGGAGUACGACCGCAAGGUUGAAACUCAAAGGAAUUGACGGGGGCCCGCACAAGCGGUGGAGCAUGUGGUUUAAUUCGAAGCAACGCGAAGAACCUUACCAGGUCUUGACAUCCUUUGACCACUCUAGAGAUAGAGCUUCCCCUUCGGGGGCAAAGUGACAGGUGGUGCAUGGUUGUCGUCAGCUCGUGUCGUGAGAUGUUGGGUUAAGUCCCGCAACGAGCGCAACCCUUAUUGUUAGUUGCCAUCAUUUAGUUGGGCACUCUAGCAAGACUGCCGGUGACAAACCGGAGGAAGGUGGGGAUGACGUCAAAUCAUCAUGCCCCUUAUGACCUGGGCUACACACGUGCUACAAUGGGAAGUACAACGAGUCGCAAAGUCGCGAGGCUAAGCUAAUCUCUUAAAGCUUCUCUCAGUUCGGAUUGUAGGCUGCAACUCGCCUACAUGAAGCCGGAAUCGCUAGUAAUCGCGGAUCAGCACGCCGCGGUGAAUACGUUCCCGGGCCUUGUACACACCGCCCGUCACACCACGAG